UACGGAGGGUGCGAGCGUUGUCCGGAUUUAUUGGGUUUAAAGGGUGCGUAGGCGGCCCGUUAAGUCGGCGGUGAAAGUCUGUGGCUCAACCAUGGAACUGCCGUUGAUACUGGCGGGCUUGAGUGCCGGUGGGGUACAUGGAAUUGAUGGUGUAGCGGUGAAAUGCAUAGAUACCAUCAGGAACACCGAUAGCGUAGGCAUUGUACUUACCGGCAACUGACGCUGAGGCACGAAAGCGCGGGUAUCGAACAGG
rnacentral:rRNA from 1 species